CCAAUUGCUGCCCACGUCCAGGUGUCGAGGUGUGCUUCAAAGUGGAUUGAGCAGUAUCGGUGUAGGCGUGUCCGUGAGUUCCUCAGGCUUGAAUCGUGUCCAUCAUGACCCAACCCAAUAUCGGUGAAGCUUGCUGAUUUUGCUGCGUCAACGUUGCUGUUCCAUGUUUAACUCGACGCCACAUUGAUGUCCCGAACAUUAGCCCAUCGAAAUCGUCACAAAUUGUGCCAAGCCAAGCCGAGAUAUUGCCACAACCGUUGCCCUAAAGCUGAGCCGUGCCGUGCCGUGCCCAUCGUUGGUCCGUUCUACCGAUUGGUUUUUUGGAAAAAUUCAAAUUUAGGUAUAGAUCUAUUUUACUUUAUUUGAUAGGUUUAUCUUUUAGGUUGAUUUAACUUAUUAGGUAGAUUUGUUUAUCUUGUUUGAGGUUUUGAUAUUUUAUCUCUUUGUUUGAUUUUUUUUCCAAUACAUGAUUGAAAUUCCCUAAUGUAGCAUCCAAUUCGCAACCGCACGAAUUUUUAUUCUAUCUAUAAGGCUUUAGAUGGAAU
rnacentral:lncRNA from 1 species